CAGUAGCCACGGUAAUACGUAGGUGGCAAGCGUUGUCCGGAAUUAUUGGGCGUAAAGGGCUCGCAGGCGGUUUCUUAAGUCUGAUGUGAAAGCCCACGGCUCAACCGUGGAGGGUCAUUGGAAACUGGGAGACUUGAGUGCAGAAGAGGAGAGCGGAAUUCCAUGUGUAGCGGUGAAAUGCGUAGAUAUAUGGAGGAACACCAGUGGCGAAGGCGGCUCUCUGGUCUGUAACUGACGCUGAGGCUCGAAAGCGUGGGGAGCAAACAGGAUUAGAUACCCCUGUAGUCCCUGUCUCUUAUAC
rnacentral:rRNA from 1 species